rnacentral:lncRNA from 1 species
UAGAUAAGAACAGGCGGGGCGACGUCAGCCACACGAGGAGCGCUGCGCCUGCACCUGCGGUGACUUCCAAGAAGCUGAAUCCUUGGUUCUCAGUGGAGGGCUUAGAUCACCCGAGUUGUGCGAGUCCGCCUGUCCUCAUCUCCUUCACUGUUCUCUUUUGAGUUUCUGUUUCGUUUUUUUUUCUUUCUUUCUGUCUGUCGGUUUGUCCGUCCGUUCGUUUGAAUCUCUACAGCACACUUAAUGCAACUUUUAAAAUCUGCAGGUUUUUAAUGUCUUGUGAAAAUUUGCAGAGGGGUGGGUGUGUGGUAAACGGGUAAUGCACGGGAAAUAAUGAGAAACAGCUUACGGGAUUUAAAUUCAUUUUCUUGCCCCCCCCCCCACCUCCCAGGAAUCUGCAAGGAUAGUGGCCAUCCUGUCCCUUCUCAUGGUCAGCACUUUAGUUUGUCUGCCCCACUAUCUUGCAGUGAGGAUUACUUAAGACUUGGUAACGCAUGUAGCCUUUUUUAGUAACCUUGGAAACCUUAGUAAUUCCAAGAGAUCAUAAACCUUGCCUGGACAUUUGCCACCUAAACGACCAGUGUGGUGCUGCAUUCUGGCCAGUAAAUUCCAUGUUUUGGCUCUAUCUCAUCCAAACAGAGUGGUUUCUGUGUACAUACAAAAGGUAGAAAUGGAGAAAAAAAGCGAGAAAAUAUUUGAAAGGGGUUAUAUUAAUUGCUAAAUAUUUUAUUCACAGAGGUCAAUAACAUGGCAAGAUGAAAUUAUUUGUAUAGUUUUGUCUGAGCGAGAACAAUGUGGAUGUAUUGUUUGUAUAUAUUGUAUAUAUUAAAACAAAGAUGUGCAUGAAUUCAAGAAAAAGAACAAAAGCAAAGCAUUAGUGGCUAUGGUCUGUAAAAUGAAACAAAAAAAACUUUAUUUCACUAUAAGAGUACUUUAUUUUAAAUGUUCUGUAGAAGAACAUUUUGCUAAAGCAUGACCUGCAAAAAAUAAAAAGGAGCUACUGUAUUUAGACUUAGGAAAAGAGGCAGAGUAGCAUUACUUUAAAAAAAAAAAAAAAAGGAUAUGUUUACAUUUAAUUUUGGCUAUCAGGAGUUUAUUUUAUUUUAUUUAAAAAAAAUUUUUUUGCCAAAGGUGCCAAGUAAUGUGAAUGCUAAUAUUGCUUAAAAAAAUUAAGUUACUUUUGCAAAAUAGAUAAUCAUAAGAUGAAUCCUUAGAGACCUUAACACCAUCCACUCACACCAACAAAGAACAUUAGGAUGAUCAAUGUUUAGGAAAAAAAAUUAGGACAAAAUGAGAAAAAUAUCACAUUUUCAUAUCUCCUGCUGGAAAUUAAAAAACAAACAACAACAAAAACCACGAAUAAAAAUUGCUCACUCGACAAAAUAAAAGGGAAACCCGGUGGAGAUUGGUGUUGACGGAAGGGUGCCACGGUACAGUACUUUCCAGGUAAUGAGGAGCCAAAGAAAUCUGAUGCUUUCAAAGCUAACUUAUGAGAGAACCAAUUUUGCAUUUGCUAAUGCCAGUUUAAAACUCCCAGGUUAAGUGUGAGAAUUGGUUGGUAUGAGAUUUUCUUUUUUU